rnacentral:rRNA from 1 species
GAAGUUACUUCGGUACAUCGGUGACAGGUGGUGCAUGGUUGUCGUCAGCUCGUGUCGUGAGAUGUUGGGUUAAGUCCCGCAACGAGCGCAACCCCUAUUGUUAGUUGCCAUCAUUCAGUUGGGCACUCUAGCGAGACUGCCGGUAAUAAACCGGAGGAAGGUGGGGAUGACGUCAAAUCAUCAUGCCCCUUAUGACCUGGGCUACACACGUGCUACAAUGGUUGGUACAACGAGUUGCGAGUCGGUGACGGCGAGCUAAUCUCUUAAAGCCAAUCUCAGUUCGGAUUGUAGGCUGCAACUCGCCUACAUGAAGGCGGAAUCGCUAGUAACCGCGAAUCAGCAGGUCGCGGUGAAUACGUUCCCGGGCCUU